CCAGUCUCCGGCAGGCUCCUUACCCCCACCGUCGGCCCUGCUUCUUCCUUCUCCCCUACGCGUGAUGCCCUCAACACCGUCGCCCUCUCUUCUUCACCAUCGCCUCGCUCGCCUCCUCCGUCGUCGAGCCAGCCCUUCUCCGUAUCUGUCGCCAUCACACCCGGAUCUGCCUCCGCCAUGACCGACGACCAACGAGAGCGGCGUGAGACGGCUUUAGGCGACGAAGGCGGCCCACACCAUGUCAGCCAACGACGCACAGCGGUGGAAGCACGCGAUGGGAGCUGACGACGCCCUUCCUCGGACGGUAUGCCUACCCCCAAUCAGGUCAUCGUCGGCCUCCUGCAGCUGUCCCUCCAUCACCUCCUUCAAGGUUUAGGCGCUCCACCACCUCAGUCCGGGUGCACUGUCUUGCCCUCGACUCCAGUGCCUGUCACCUCCUCCUGGGCCUUGGCGUUACCGUGGCCCCUCGCACAGAGAACCCUCGGUCCAACAAGCAUCUAGGCGUCUUUGGUAGUGGUCUGUCAACAACUUACAAGCUUUUACAGAACACGCUUCUCGCUUUUUUAACCACAGUUGUCAACCUAACUGUCGGCUGGAGAAAUGGAAUCAGAGGGUCUGCUUUGGGCCCUCAAUUUGUUGCUAAACCACUUGCACCUGAUAACCCUCCACUGAAGGUAAGAUUUAUUGACAACAUCGAUCCUGGUGGGAUUGAUCAUCAAAUUGCUCAACUAGGAUCUCAACUGGCAACUAGCUACUCUUGUAAUUGUCAUUUCUAAGAACACUUGAGGGAGGGGGAACUGCUGAAGCGUGUUUCAUCAAGAUCCAAGCAGCACAUGAGCUAUUGAUUCAUGAUGAAAGGAGAAGGGCAUAUGAUAGAGAGGAUCAUGUGAACCCAAUGAAGAUUACCACCGUAUCAUGAUUCAUCAACUCUAACAUGCGUGAGCCAACACUAUGCUUCUCCACUUCAGGACAUGGAUAUGACUCUUCUAUGUUUAAGCCACUACAACUUGGUGUAUUUAUGCCAAAGAUUUUUUGAGCACUAACACACCAAACCAGCGCCUAUGAAGUGCUUUUGUAUGAUCACCUUCUUCUUGCACCAUCCAUGGAUAAUCUACGUAGCUGCAAACAGUCUUAGUUACAUAUUACUGUACUGAACAUCCUUUCAUAGACUACUUGUACACUGCCUUUUUAGAACCGUUGUAAAACCUCAUGCGAUACGUCUGCGCCUUUGAAACAGAGAUCAACUGAACAACCUGUUCAAUGUUUCCUUCUAUUGCAUAUGUAUUCUGUUGUCAUACUAUGUCCAACAAUGCAUUUAUAUUGCUACAAUAUGUUUAUACUUGAUGCAUGUGAUACAAAUCCGUUAUUUAUACAUACAAAGACAAGCUCUUCUGACACCAUAGGGCGCCGCGGAGCGCACCCCUUUUUUCUAGUAAGUUUAACGUUGCAGUUGCUGAAGGUGAUUGAAUAGAACUCCUGAUUUUUUUGUGUUCUAUCUAGGAACUUCAGACAUGAUGUAAAGAUGAACCGGAGCAUCAAGCAGCAGCUGGGUGCCUCUUCACUGAUAGUAGAUCUCUAAUAUAGUGAUGUAUGUUCUAUACUUUGAGGUUAGCUUUUCCCCUCUGGUCCCCUUUGUUGGAGAAACUGUUGUACUUCAGUUAAGAGAUAAGUUUUCAGAGUAAUUUCUCCUAAUCAGUUUAGUAGAGGUUUCAGGUUCACUAACCUGAGCAGUGAUCAGGCUUUUAGCUUAUUUAUUUAUGUUGUGCAACGCUGGAAUGGUUUCGAAUGCAAAAUUGUCGCUGCUGUUGCCGCAUUGCCGUCUUAACUCGCAGGGGCUGCAUGCUGAUAUCGGUGUUUGAACGGAAAGAGGACUCACAACAAGAAAUGAAUGAACGAUGUUCCAU